GCACAACCACCACAACAACUACGAGGCGUCCCCUGACCGACGAAGAACUCACUGAACUGGCUGAAACGCGUCCGAUCACAGUCCUCUUCGUCGGUGACCACAGCUACAGUACGAUAUCGAAGGAACAAUUCCUGAUAUAUGCACAAAGCCAGCUUAAUAUGAUGAAUGCAGCCUUUGCAGAAAAUAAGAUCAAGCUGAAGAUGAAAGUUUACGACACCUAUGUG